GGGAAUGUGAGCUGUUAUUGUCAAAGCCACCACUAAGCUGGGGAAUAGAGGAGACAGGAUUGGGAAAAGUGGAAUUUUGGAGUUUUGUAUUCUGCAAUUUUUACUGAUCGCACUCUAACAGGAUCUAGCCUGAGUUAUAUCAGUGGUGGUGAAAACUCCUGGGUAGCCCUAUGAUCCCCACUCCUGGUGUUCAUUCUUGGAUGAUCGUCCUCCCUUGCAUAUGGAUGUGACCUGUGACUUGCUUCUAAUCAGUAGAAUAUGACACAGGUGAAGGAUGUGUGUGAACAUGUGUAUGUGACUUCAUGAUAUGAGAUAAUCUAUCUUGGUAGGAGAGUCUCCUCUCCCCACCUCAACGCUUUGAGGAAGAAAGCUGCCAUGUUGUGAGCUGCCAUUUGGAAAGGGCUGUGUGGCAAGGAGCUGAGGGGUGGCCUUGGCCCCUGUCUGACAGCCAGCUAGAACCCAAAGCUCGCAGUUCAGCCUGCAAGGAACUGAAUUCUGUCAACAACCACAGGAGUUGGAAGUGGAUUCUUCCACAGUUGGCCUCAGAUGAGACACCUUGACUGCAGCUUUGUAACACCUAGAAGCAGAGGACCCAGCUAAUCUGCUCCUGGACUCCUGGCCCACAGAAGCUACAAAGAGAUGAAUGUAUGUUGUUUGAAGCCACUGUGUGGUGGUAACAUUGCUACACAGCAAUAGAUAAUAAAUAUGUCAACGAUUUGGACUUUUCCAAGAAACCACUG